rnacentral:rRNA from 1 species
UAAGGAAUAUUGGACAAUGGUCGCAAGACUGAUCCAGCCAUGCCGCGUGCAGGAAGACGGCCCUAUGGGUUGUAAACUGCUUUCGUACCAGAGAAAACCUAUCUACGUGUAGAUAGCUGAUAGUAUGGUAAGAAUAAGCAUCGGCUAACUUCGUGCCAGCAGCCGCGGUAAGACGAAGGAUGCAAGCGUUAUCCGGAUUCAUUGGGUUUAAAGGGUGCGUAGGCGGGCUUGUAAGUCAGUGGUGAAAUCUCUCAGCUUAACUGAGAAACUGCCAUUGAUACUGCAGGCCUAGAGUAUAGAUGACGUUGGCGGAAUAUGACAUGUAGUGGUGAAAUACUUAGAUAUGUCAUAGAACACCGAUUGCGAAGGCAGCUAACGAAACUAUAACUGACGCUGAGGCACGAAAGUGCGGGGAUCAAACA